rnacentral:sRNA from 1 species
GCCGGGCGUGGUGGCGGGCGCCUGUAGUCCCAGUUACUCAGGAGGCCGAGGCAAGAGAAUCGCUUGAACCCAGGAGGCGGAGGUUGCAGUGAGCAAGAUUGCACCACUGCACUUCAGCCUGGGUGACAGAGCAAGACUCUGUCUCAA